rnacentral:rRNA from 1 species
UUGAAUAAAUUGGUUGAGUUGCUGCUGACUCUUUGGAGUAUGUGCACACUUUCACCACUUUUAAACCCCCCCCCUCCUGUGCACUUUGUGUAGAUUGUCAAAUACUUUGAGGAUUUGCUACAUCAGCUUGCUUCAUUGUAUUUUACAUCUAUGUUUUUAUAUACACCACAUCAGUUUAAGAAUGUUAUAUUAGGCAUUUUGUGCCUUUAAACUUAAAACAACUUUCAACAAUGGAUCUCUUGGCUCUUGCAUCGAUGAAGAACGCAGCGAAAUGCGAUAAGUAAUGUGAAUUGCAGAAUUCAGUGAAUCAUCGAAUAUUUGAACGCACCUUGCGCUCCUUGGUAUUCCGAGGAGCAUGCCUGUUUGAGAGUCAUAAUAAUCUCAACCUCAUUAAUAACUUUUGCAAGUUCAAUGGGGCUUGGACAUGGAAGUUGCGGGUUUGGUUUUUCUUUUUACUGAAAUCCGCUCUUCUUAAAUAUAUUAGCAGGAUGGUUUACUGAUUAUCUUUUGGUAUGAUAAUUAUCUAUACCAAUCAAGACUUCAGUGUACUCUGCUUCCAAUUGUCUUUUCUUAGACCAACUUGUGUAUGACUAUUUGACCUCAAAUCAGGUAGGACUACCCGCUGAACUUAAGCAUAUCAAUAAGCGGAGGAAAAGAAACUAACAAGGAUUCCCCUAGUAACUGCGAGUGAAGCGGGAAAAGCUCAAAUUUAAAAUCUGGUAGUCUUUGGCUGCCCGAGUUGUAAUCUANAGAANUAUUGUCCGCGCUGGACCGUGU